AUGAAAAGGAGAACAAAGGCAGGAACAGAACACAACAGAGUGAGAUGGACACCGGAGCAGUUUAAAGAGGAAGAGACGAGAGCCCUGGAUAGCAGCCACCCUUCAUCGGGAGCGUGUGUGAAGACUCUUCCGCUGAAGAAGCUGGAAUAUGAGAAGCUGCAGUGGCCCAGAUUAGACAUGGAACAGGAGAUGAUGCUCAACAGCCGCGUAAUGAGCUCUCUUUGGAGGAUAAACGUAGGCAUGCAUGUCUGCAGUCGCCUCUGAGACGUCAGCUUUUGUGUGGGGGUCAAAGCAUUUCAGCGUUUUUGGAGAUCAAGGACACUGACCCUUAGCUAAGCCCCACAUUCAAGGGAUGGUUCACCCAAAAAUGGAAAUUCUGGCAUCAUUUCUGCAUGCAUUUCUUUUGGUACCUACUGACUUCCAUUUGUACACUCUUAGGGUACAAAAAUAAGUUUUCAUAGCGAUGCAGUAGAAGAACAUUUUUUUGAGACCUCAAAGAACAUUUCAGGGAACAGUUCUUCAAAGAACCAUGUUUUUCUUAGUAUGAAGAAUAUUUUAUUUUAUUUAUUAUUAUUAGUGUCUAAACAAAAACACACAGACAUUUCUCAAAAUAUCUUCUUUUGUGUUCCACAGAAGAAAGAAAGUCAAACAGGUUCGGAAUGAAAUUACAUUUUUGGGUGAACUACCCCUUUAAAAGCAUUACAGACCAAUCCUAGCUUAGCAACUGUUGCCACAUAAAUUGUGCUGCUCCCAAAUCUUCUAUUAUUUACUAUUCAUUUCUAUUCAUUCAUUCUUGAAAAGUUAUAUAAAGCUAGUAUAAAUAAGCUACAGUAACCAAGGGGGCGGAGCUUAGUAAAGGAUAAUUUGCAGAGUCCAAGUUAUGCCUAAAUUAUAGUUCAGUUUUUAUGUCUAUGCGAGGGUCCACAUACAGUGCGCAUGAAGCAAAUUUAGUCACCAGAAUAGUAUCAUACUGUACGCUCACCACCCAAAUUUUUGUACUUUGUAUGCCCAGGUCACACAUGCACAUUGAAUUUGUUUUGCGCUAAUCAGUUGUUCCACAAGGUGGCAACACUGGCAACACAGUGGAUGAAACAACAACAAAAUACUGGAGACUGCAACUACAACAGCAUUGACAACUGCUUGUGUGAGAGGGUUACGAGAUGGCCGCAACUUUAGUUUAAAUGAUUACAAAGACAUUUUUAUCGGUCAUAACUUCUGGAGAAAAAUAGUGCAGACACUGGACAAAAAUGACUUUAAAAGCCUAUACAUUAGACUAAGCAUACUUUGCGCCUUAAAUAGUGUGAGUUUUACAGUGGACAAAGUAUGAGACAGUCAAAAAUGUAUUUUAUUUUAUUAGAAACUAGUUCUUUAAGGAUUUACUAAAUUUGUUCUUUCUUCGCUAUUGUAUUGUAUACUAUUUUUAUUGAAAACAGUUCUUUAAGGAUUUACUAAAUUUGUCUUUCUUCGCAUUGUAUUGUAUACAUUUUUGGCCAGGAAAUGAUGGAGAGGAUGUCGAUCAGGAAGUAUUGCAAACUGGAUUUGAACUCAUAUCACCCAUAUGAGCACCACAGCUUGAUGCAACGGAAAAUGUAACCACAGCAUAGAGGAAGUACUUCUUAAAGGUAUAGUUCACCAGUGCUCACACUCAUAUUGCUUUUAUUAUUAUUAUUAUUUAUUCCACAUUUCUUUUGUAUUUUGUACAUUUCUAAAAACAACAGCAACAACAACAUAAAAGUAAUCCAUAUUGGCCUGAAUAAUGCUUCCUGUGUUCUGCAGAAUAAAUGGAUGAAAGUAUAUCAUGACAGAUUUUAAUUUCUGAGUGAACUAUCCCUUUAAGAGAUUUUGUUUAUUCCUCUCAUGAUAACGCACCUUCAUCAACUGCCGAGUUAGCUUGAGAGCCAUUUUUCAUUUUAAUGUGUUUUCUACAGCACACACAACAAGUCCCAAAAAUUGAAACAAGCUUCAAUUAUGUCAAGAAUUAUGUGGAGGCUUUAGCUUGUUAUACAAGCUUUGCAGAAUGAGAUACUGCCCAUAUUAUGCAGCUGAUUUAGCCCUCUGUUGUCCAGUUCCUCUCUUAUCUUCCUCUCUGAGCACAUAGCUCUCUUUCUUCUUUUUUUUAUUAUUAUUGCAAAACCCCACAUUAGGAUGAGAUAAACACACAGCAGUGGAAGCGUUCUCAAAUCAGUCCAGUGUAAACGACUCAAUAGGCAUACAUUGUGGCCGGAGGACGUGUUUACAGAAGCUAAGCCCUUAUUAAACAAACAUCUGUUCAAGAGAGACAGACUCUUCUGCGCUCAGUAAGCAUCAUGUGACGUUCUUUCAUAAGAGCUCUAGCAACUAGCAUAAUCCAAAGACACAGUAUGUGUACCUAGUUACUAAUAGGUACUUUUAAGUUAAAAAAAAAAUAAAAAAAAAAAACUACCUUUAAAAAUUUCCUUUUACUACACUUUUCUCCUCUUUUCCAGAGACUGUUUUUCUCAGAAACGGACAGAAGUAGGUCAUGCUGUGCGCAUAAGAGGCUAGCUUUAGCAGACCUCAGCUGCAAGCUAAAUGCACCUGUCUGGUCCUUCACCUCACAAACUCACUUGUCUCUUACAACAGCUGUUUAAAUGCCAGUACAUGCCACAUCAGAGCUAAAGGCAAGUUAUAAUUGCAUUUCAUGUCUGAACUAGAGAUAUAGAGUCAGGCCAACCUUAAAGGGAUAGUUCACCCAAAAAUGAAAAUUCUGUCAUUAAUUACUCACCCG
rnacentral:lncRNA from 1 species